rnacentral:rRNA from 1 species
AUUGAACGCUGGCGGCAGGCUUAACACAUGCAAGUCGAGCGGAGAUGAGGUGCUUGCACCUUAUCUUAGCGGCGGACGGGUGAGUAAUGCUUAGGAAUCUGCCUAUUAGUGGGGGACAACAUUCCGAAAGGAAUGCUAAUACCGCAUACGUCCUACGGGAGAAAGCAGGGGAUCUUCGGACCUUGCGCUAAUAGAUGAGCCUAAGUCGGAUUAGCUAGUUGGUGGGGUAAAGGCCUACCAAGGCGACGAUCUGUAGCGGGUCUGAGAGGAUGGUCCGCCACACUGGGACUGAGACACGGCCCAGGCUCCUACAGGAGGCAGCGGUGGGGAAUAUUGGACAAUGGGGGGAACCCUGAUCCAGCCAUGCCGCGUGUGUGAAGAAGGCCUUAUGGUUGUAAAGCACUUUAAGCGAGGAGGAGGCUACUGAGACUAAUACUCUUGGAUAGUGGACGUUACUCGCAGAAUAAGCACCGGCUAACUCUGUGCCAGCCGCCGCCGUAA